rnacentral:rRNA from 1 species
UACGAUGGGUGCAAGCGUUACUCGGAAUUACUGGGCGUAAAGCGUGCGUAGGCGGUUCGUUAAGUCAGAUGUGAAAGCCCCGGGCUCAACCUGGGAAUUGCAUUUGAUACUGGCGGGCUAGAGUACGGUAGAGGGUGGUGGAAUUCCCGGUGUAGCAGUGAAAUGCGUAGAGAUCGGGAGGAACAUCCGUGGCGAAGGCGGCCACCUGGACCAGUACUGACGCUGAGGCACGAAAGCGUGGGGAGCAAACAGG